UGUCCCCAAUAGUCCAGGUCUCAUCAUAGUCGAAGUGGACAUCCCCUUCUCGGUGAGUUUUGGGGAAGAAGGCAUGGGCCAGGAUACCUCCAGGCCCAUCGAAUGGCAAGUUGUCCCCAUGCCAGUACCUGUGGGUGGGUGGGGAUAGAGUCAGUGGCUGCUGGAAGUAGGGUUUUUCCCCUCAGGGGUCCUAUGUUGCAUACUCACCUGGUGAAGUCAAUCAUGAUGUCAGCAUGGCCCUCAUGAACCUCAGUGAAGGCAUCAAGCUUUCUCAUCCUCCCUUCCUGGAGAGCCCUGGGCUGCCUGUCACCAAUCCCUGCUCAGCCUUUAGGACGGACACAUUACUUGAAUGUCGCGUGAAUGCUAUCAGUGUCUGGCGCUGAAUCGGUGGGGUCAAGAUCCCAGGGGACCAGCCGGGAUUAACAGUCGCGUAGCAGAGCCUCCUAGCACCCGGAC